rnacentral:lncRNA from 1 species
GCACAUCACCAGGCCUGGCAUUCCCUCCCCUCUCUCAGGUCUCCGACACUGUGCCAAGAGAAAAAUCUCUCCUGGAUCUGUCUGCAAAGGCAAACGGAGCUGGGAGGACAUGAGGUUGUCUGGGCCAACAACUGAAGAGUAUCACUUGACUUGCAUGAGGUAAAGGCGGGGAGUAUUGGCUUAGUUCCAUCAGACUGCCAACAGUGUGGGCCACAUCAGGAGACAAGAACAACUCAGCAUGCAUUACUACACAGGCAAUCUUUACCGAGGGACUGCUCCCAGCUGAGUGGGACCCAAGAGUCCUGGGACCCUCUUCCUGAAGGAUGACUCAUGGAUGACUUCCAAUACCUGGUCAGGAAGGAAGCCCGCAGAGAUCACUGCAUGGAGCCUCCACUGGACCUGUGUUGAGGGAGGAAGAAAUGGGGUGUGUGUGGUGGAUAACACUCUCCUCCACUUCACCUCAUAUCAUGUCUCCUAUUGGUUGGAUCCAGUCCCAGAAGGAGGACUGGGAAGCUAGGCUCUGUCCCCUGGAAUUGAUGGCAUAGUAUCUGUCAGCCAUGUCUCCC